rnacentral:rRNA from 1 species
GAUGAACGCUAGCGGCAGGCCUAAUACAUGCAAGUCGAACGGUGUCUUCGGACAUAGUGGCGCACGGGUGCGUAACACGUAUGCAACCUACCUUACAUUGGGGGAUAGCCUUUCGAAAGGGAGAUUAAUACCGCAUAAGACAGUAGCUGGGCAUCCAGCAGCUGUUAAAGAUUUAUCGAUGUAAGCUGGGCAUGCGUCCAAUUAGCUAGUUGGUGAGGUAACGGCUCACCAAGGCUAUGAUUGGUAGGGGAACUGAGAGGUCAAUCCCCCACACUGGCACUGAGAUACGGGCCAGACUCCUACGGGAGGCAGCAGUAGGGAAUAUUGGGCAAUGGACGCAAGUCUGACCCAGCCAUGCCGCGUGCAGGAUGAAGGCGUUAUGCGUUGUAAACUGCUUUUAUACAGGAAGAAACGACUCUUGCGANAGGCAUGACGGUACUGUAUG